GGUUGAUCCUGCCAGUAACAUAUGCUUGUCUCAAAGAUUAAGCCAUGCAUGUCUAAGUAUAAACAACUUUAUACUGUGAAACUGCGUACAGCUCAUUAAAUCAGUCAUUAUUUAUUUGAUGGUUUCUUACUUCACAUGGAUACCCGUAGUAAUUCUAGAGCUAAUACAUGCAAAAAAUCCCGACUUUUGAAGGGAUGUAUUUAUUAGAUAAAAAACCAAUGCACUUCGGUGGUUUGUGGUGACUCAUAAUAACUGAUCGAAUCGCAUGGCCUUGUGCUGGCGAUAGUUCAUU
rnacentral:rRNA from 1 species